UACAGUGACUGCAAGCGUUGUUCGGAUUCAUUGGGCGUAAAGGGUGCGUAGGCGGUGCGGUAAGUCGGGUGUGAAAUCUCGGAGCUUAACUCCGAAACUGCAUUCGAUACUGCCGUGCUUGAGGACUGGAGAGGAGACUGGAAUAUACGGUGUAGCGGUGAAAUGCGUAGAUAUCGUAAGGAAGACCAGUGGCGAAGGCGGGUCUCUGGACAGUUCCUGACGCUGAGGCACGAAGGCCAGGGGAGCAAACAGG
rnacentral:rRNA from 1 species